UAAAAACAUUUAUAUAGUUACAGAAUUAGUACUAUCCAUGUAUAAUGUGUAUCCUUAUUUUUCCCUCAAAAAUUCGGGCAAAAUGUAUGCAUUAUACUUGGCAAAAUAUGAUGAGUUGAAUAUUCCUAUCACAAAACUUCCAAAGUUUGGGAAGUAAAUUUUUAACCACAAAACUCCUCUCUUUAGCAAAGUGAAGAUACUUUUGUUAAGAAAAUGGAAUAACUUUUUAAAUCCAGGUAUCAAACCCCCAACCUCUGCAUGUGUCCUGACUGGAGACUGUACCCACAACCUUUUGGGCAUGGGACCACAUCCAACCAAAUGAGCCACCCAGCCAGGGCAA